GCUCUCUGGAGAAGCUCGCGGCGCAGGGGAUGCGUGCAGCGGGUGCCGAAGGUGCAAGGCGGCGUUUUUCGCUGCCAAUCUCUCAGGCAAAAGGACAGAGC
rnacentral:ncRNA from 1 species